CCUGACACCACAGACACAGCAGCUCAGGGAGAGGAUUGGUGAGAAACUGCUGCAGCUGAGGAGGGAAGAGGCCGUGGUGCUGAGUGAGUCUCCGAGGCUGUGUCUGGUGUGUGACGAGCAGGUGGAGCAACACGCAGCCUUACGGAAGGUUAAGUGCACUACACACUAAGGUGUUUUUUCAUUCACAGACAAAACAUAAUGAAGAUAGUCUUAAGUACUCUGAUGUACCCGAGGCAGCUCUUGGUACCUGCCAGAGUUUUUACCUCAAGAAGACCAAGUUUCCCUCACAUAUAUAUCUACUUGGACCGAAUUUUUUGUCCACACCAAACCCACUGAGGCAGCACAUGGCAUCUUUUUACCAGAGCUUUUACCUCAAAAAGACUCAGAGUUUCCCUCACACAUACCAUUUAUAGAGGACUUCGUGGUGCAGUGGUUAGCACACUCGGCUCACAACCGAGAGAGCCCGGGUUCGAUUCCUGGGCGGAGUGGAAAAAUUUGGGCGACUUUUCCGAUACCCGACGCCCCUGUCCAGCCAGCAGUGAAUGGGUACCAGGUAUUAAUCGGGGGUUGUGUCCCGUCUCCUGGGAUCUGUUCCCUUCUAUAAUUCCUUCCCUUCUGUCUCUCCGGCAUAUGACCACAGAUGUUGCGCCGACUAAACCAAACUUUCCAACUUUCUACAUACCAUUUAUUUAUUUUCACCCAAUUCCUUGUUACAUAUGUCACCCAUUCAGGCAGCUUUAAUACUCUUUUACCAGAGCUAGAAGACAAAGCUAUCCUCACUUAUCUAACCAACACUUAACCACCAUAACUUUGACCACACAUAACCCCUUGAGGCAGCUUUCUACCCUCGUACUAGAGCAACCUUUUUUAACCAGACAAGUUUCCCUCACACCACAACACACAGAGGUACACACUAAUUCACCCUCUUUCCCCCUCUCCCCCCCUUACAGGGAACAUCCAGAGCGGCCACAGCGCAUCCAGCGGGUGUGGGAGGUGCUGGGGCGUGCCGGGGUGCUGGGGUGAGGCCAGCGGCUGCAGCCUCGGUGGCCCAGCGUGAGGAGGUGGAGCUCCCACACAGCCAGGAACACAUGGCCUUC